rnacentral:rRNA from 1 species
UACGAAGGGGCUAGCGUUGUUCGGAAUUACUGGGCGUAAAGCGUGCGCAGGCGGUUUUGUAAGUCUGUCGUGAAAUCCCCGGGCUCAACCUGGGAAUGGCGAUGGAGACUGCAAGGCUAGAGUUUGGCAGAGGGGGUAGAAUUCCACGUGUAGCAGUGAAAUGCGUAGAUAUGUGGAGGAACACCGAUGGCGAAGGCAGCCCCCUGGGUCAAAAACUGACGCUCAUGCACGAAAGCGUGGGGAGCAAACAGGA